ACCAGACUCCUACGGGAGGCAGCAGUGAGGAAUAUUGGUCAAUGGGCGCGAGCCUGAACCAGCCAAGUCGCGUGAGGGAUGACGGUCCUACGGAUUGUAAACCUCUUUUGCCGGGGAGCAAGCGUGCGUUCGUGAACGCGCGUCGAGAGUACCCGGAGAAAAAGCAUCGGCUAACUCCGUGCCAGCAGCCGCGGUAAUACGGAGGAUGCGAGCGUUAUCCGGAAUUACUGGGUGUAAAGGGAGCGUAGACGGCGAGGUAAGCCUGAAGUGGAAGCCCGCGGCCCAACCGCGGAACUGCUUUGGGAACUGUUUUGCUGGAGUAUGGGAGGGGUAAGCGGAAUUCCUGGUGUAGCGGUGAAAUGCAUAGAUAUCACGCAGAACUCCGAUUGCGAAGGCAGCAUACCGGCGCUCAACUGACGCUCAUGCACGAAAGCGUGGGUAUCGAACAGGAUUAGAUACCCUAGUA
rnacentral:rRNA from 1 species